rnacentral:lncRNA from 1 species
GGGCGAGGUGGCAGGGCUCUGGGCUGGGGCUAUAUUAAUAGUUGCUGAGCCCCUAGAGUCCAUGUGAAUCACAGGAGGGCGGCACAGUGUGCACUGGGAGGGAAGGCCAUGGAGUUCCUGCUGAACCACUCAACAGCUUAAAAUACAACCAGCCCCUCUCCCUACUGGGCCAGCUGCCGGGGAGGGCUGAAAUCCUAGCCUCUCCCCCAGCUGGGGCACUGCAGCCAGGCCAGGAGCCGUGGUGCACCAACUGGUGGGCAGCAGGAGAGCGCGUGGAGAGGGGCCACGGUGAAGAGCAAUCCCAAGCCACAAGCUGAGGGACUGCCUGCAGCAGAGGAAGACUCGGGCAAGCCAGGAAGCUUAAGGAAGCCAGAGACCCUGAGGAUGAACUGACUAGAGGUGUUCGACGGCCACUGUCCGUUAUGCCCGCCCCUGGCUCCACCCAAGCCGGCAGGCAGAAAUUGGUUCUCUCCUGCCACCUUGUGGGGUGAAAGGAUCAAAUUCAGGUAGGCCUCAAAGACGCAUCUCUACCUGAUGAACUGUCUCACUACCUCCGAGGCUUCUGAGACGGGAGGUUUCCCAGUGGACAGAGGUGCAAGAGGGCAAAGGAUCGACUCAGUCCUUCAAAGGUAUCUAUUACUUUGUUAUUUAAAUUAAAAUUUUAGCCUGUUGUGGUAGCACACGCCUUUAAACCCAGCACUUAGGAAGACAAAGGGAGAUCCCUUGGUUCAAGGCCAGAUACAGACUAGUCUACAAGGCAAGUUCCAGGCCACUCAGGGUCAGGCAGAGCUACACAGACUACACAGAUUCUACCUCAAGAAAAAUUACAUUUUUAUUUAUUGUAAUUGAACGCACACUGAUGCGUGCAUGUGGAAGUCAGAGAGGGCAGCCUGUGAUGCACACUGAUGCAUGCAUGUGGAAGUCAGAGAGGGCAGCCUGUGAUGCACACUGAUGCAUGCAUGUGGAAGUCAGAGAGGGCAGCCUGUGAUGCACACUGAUGCAUGCAUGUGGAAGUCAGAGAGGGCAGCCUGUGAUGCACACUGAUGCAUGCAUGUGGAAGUCAGAGAGGGCAGCCUGUGAUGCACACUGAUGCAUGCAAGUGGAAGUCAGAGGGCAGCCUGUGGGAGUUCUUUCCUUUCACCACCUGCGUUCCAGGAACUAAAAGGAACUAACCCCAAGUCUUCAGGUUCAAUAGCAGACACCUUUACCUGCUGAGCCAUCCUACCAGGGUGGCCUGGAAUUCACAAUGUAGCUAGACAAGGAUGACUCUGAACUUGUAAUUCUAAUGCCUUCACCUCCCAAGUACUGGGAUCAAUCACAAGCAUCAACUACCACGCCUGGUUUUAUCCAGGGCUGGGGCUGGAACUCAGGGUCUCCUGCAUGCAGGCCUAAGAGCCCAGAGCUCUGCUCUUAAUGGGGAUUAAGCUGACACUUUUCCCCAUCUUAACUAUGAAAGCAUCUCUCCCAUUUUUAUUGGUCUGUACCAAUAAAAUGGUACUGCAAAUGGCUCUGCAAACUGGGCUAGAAGAUAGCAGAUGCUCCUGUCCCAAAACUAUGGCCUCAGUGUGUAUUAAACAAAU